GUUAUAUUUGAUUGAUGAUGAUAAAGUACAUUGUGUUUAUGUUUAAUCAAAUUAUUUGCUUUGUACUUGUGUCUUAUUCAUAGUUGUGUCUUGUUCUUGAUUGUGUCUUAUACAUAUUUACAUAUAUCUUUUUGCUAUGUUUGUGCCUUAUUCUUGAUUAUGUUAUAGUGAAAGUUAUAUAUUCUUCCUCUACUAGAACAACCUUAAUGAAUUGUGUUCAGAGAACUACAAAAUGCGACAUUUGCAGUUUCAAUUAAGUUAUUUGUUGUUUCAGUGGCUAUAUUGUUUGGUUGUUGAAGAAGUACCAGAAAAUGAUUACAUGUUGCCAUUAUUUGAAGCCGGGGUGCACAUAAAGUCCCAAUGAAUAUGAUAAAGAAGCUUGCCUUGAUGCUAAAAAGGAAGAAGUUUCAUAUGAAUUGAGAGAUUUCAAGACACUUAUUCCUUCGGAUAAAAAAAUGGUAAAGAAGACACAGAGACUUCUUCUGAGAUGAAUAUGCAACAUGGUGAUUAGAGAUGAAGUCAACAUCUGAAGGAGGAGUAUGUGAAAUGAGCUAAACUCAGUUGUACUUAGCUAGAUCACAAAGAGUUCGUCUUCAGAUUCAGAUGGCCAGAAAGAAGAGACUAUGCGCACUUUAAAUUAGAUGAUAUCUGAGAUCAAGCAUGAAAAUAAUGUCCCUGAAAACAGUGAUACAUAAUAUGGCAGUAAAGAACCCUCAAAGGAGAGUGACGAUGACAAUUCUGAAUCUGAUGAUAGUGAUAUUCUUGUACCUUUAUGUUGGCAAAAAAAACUAUUACAUCUGCUUCAAAGGCAAAAAUAAAAUGUUUUGGUAUGAUAACAAUUUUAUUUUGACAUACUUAAAAAAUAUUGAUUAGCGUGUUCUAACACUAUCUGUGAUAUUUCCAAUAUUUUCCCAUAUCAUUUUCAAAUAGAGUAUUGCAUAAGGAUCAAGAUUCAAUCCAGCUUAUUGAUGUUCAAAAUGGGAAAAUGUAUGAGUGUGAUCUUUACACUAUUGACAUAGACAUAGACGAGAAGUACAUUGCAAAUGGCUAGUACCAAUAUGCAAAGGAAAAGAAACUCUGAUUAGGUGAUAAGUUGGGAUUUACUAUGCCUUAUGGUCCUGAUAGGCUGUAUGUAAAGAGGUUGAACUGUUGAAUCGAGGAAAAGGGAGAAUAUGUUAUUUGAUAGGAGAAGUAGUUGGA